GAUGAACGCUGGCGGCGUGCCUAAUACGUGCAAGUCGAGCGAACGGACGAGAAGCUUGCUUCUCUGAUGUUAGCGGCGGACGGGUGAGUAACACGUGGAUAACCUACCUAUAGGACUGGGAUAACUUCGGGAAACCGGAGCUAAUACCGGAUAAUAUUUUGAACCGCAUGGUUCAAAAGUGAAAGACGGUCUUGCUGUCACUUAUAGAUGGAUCCGCGCUGCAUUAGCUAGUUGGUAAGGUAACGGCUUACCAAGGCAACGAUGCAUAGCCGACCUGAGAGGGUGAUCGGCCACACUGGAACUGAGACACGGUCCAGACUCCUACGGGAGGCAGCAGUAGGGAAUCUUCCGCAAUGGGCGAAAGCCUGACGGAGCAACGCCGCGUGAGUGAUGAAGGUCUUCGGAUCGUAAAACUCUGUUAUUAGGGAAGAACAUAUGUGUAAGUAACUGUGCACAUCUUGACGGUACCUAAUCAGAAAGCCACGGCUAACUACGUG
rnacentral:rRNA from 1 species